rnacentral:pre_miRNA from 1 species
UCUUAUGAAUGAGCGAAGAAAGUAGUUUCUUAAGAUGGAAUCUACUCCUGGUAAAGAUGCUGUGAA